ensembl:lncRNA
GUCCUGGGCUGGUAAAGAAACCUGGAUAUGGAGGUCCUGGGCUGGUAAAGAAACCGGGAUAUGGAGGUCCUGGGUUGGUAAAGAAACCGGGAUAUGGAGGUCCUGGGCUGGUAAAGAAACUGGGAUAUGGAGGUCCUGGGCUGGUAAAGAAACCAGAUGUGGAGGUCCUGGGCUGGUAAAGAAACCAGAUGUGGAGGUCCUGGGCUGGUAAAGAAACCGGGAUAUGGAGGCCCUGGGCUGGUAAAGAAACCUGGGCUGGUAAAGAAACCAGGUGUGGACGUCCUGGGCUGGUAAAGAAACCGGGAUAUGGAGGUCCUGGGCUGGUAAAGAAACCGGAUAUGGAGGUCCUGGGCUGGUAAAGAAACCGGAUAUGGAGGUCCUGGGCUGGCAUGGUUCCACGUGGUCUGCAGUUGAGGCCGG